rnacentral:rRNA from 1 species
GACGAACGCUGGCGGCGUGCUUAACACAUGCAAGUCGAACGGAAAGGCCCUGCUUUUGUGGGGUGCUCGAGUGGCGAACGGGUGAGUAACACGUGAGUAACCUGCCCUUGACUUUGGGAUAACUUCAGGAAACUGGGGCUAAUACCGGAUAGGAGCUCCUGCUGCAUGGUGGGGGUUGGAAAGUUUCGGCGGUUGGGGAUGGACUCGCGGCUUAUCAGCUUGUUGGUGGGGUAGUGGCUUACCAAGGCUUUGACGGGUAGCCGGCCUGAGAGGGUGACCGGCCACAUUGGGACUGAGAUACGGCCCAGACUCCUACGGGAGGCAGCAGUGGGGAAUAUUGCACAAUGGGCGGAAGCCUGAUGCAGCAACGCCGCGUGUGGGAUGACGGCCUUCGGGUUGUAAACCGCUUUCGCCUGCGACGAAGCGUGAGUGACGGUAAUGGGUAAAGAAGCACCGGCUAACUACGUG